GACGAACGCUGGCGGCGUGCUUAACACAUGCAAGUCGAACGGAAAGGCCUGCUUUCCCUUGUGGAUUGCGGGUACUCGAGUGGCAAACGGGUGAGUAACACGUGAGUGAUCUGCCCCCAACUUGGGUAUAAGCCUGGGAAACUGGGUCUAAUUCCCGAUAGGACUGCAGGGUGGUGCCUGUGGUGGAAAACGAUUUUCUAGAGGUUGGGGAUGAGCUCGCGGCCUAUCAGCUUGUUGGUGGGGUAAUGGCCUACCAAGGCGGCGACGGGUAGCCGGCCUGAGAGGGUGGACGGCCACAUUGGGACUGAGAUACGGCCCAGACUCCUACGGGAGGCAGCAGUGGGGAAUAUUGCACAAUGGGCGGAAGCCUGAUGCAGCGACGCCGCGUGGGGGAUGACGGCCUUCGGGUUGUAAACUCCUUUCGACCGCGAGGAAGCCACCUGGUUGGAAGGGUGGUGACGGUAGUGGUAGAAGAAGCACCGGCUAACUACGUG
rnacentral:rRNA from 1 species